rfam:Stegodyphus mimosarum contig28367, whole genome shotgun sequence.
GCCUUCUUUGUGUAGUGGUCAGCACGCUCGACGCGUAACCGAGAGGUCCGUGGUUCGAUUCCCGGCGAAGGCU